AGCGAACGCUGGCGGCAGGCCUAACACAUGCAAGUCGAACGAACCCUUCGGGGUUAGUGGCGGACGGGUGAGUAACACGUGGGAACGUGCCUUUAGGUUCGGAAUAACUCAGGGAAACUUGUGCUAAUACCGAAUGUGCCCUUCGGGGGAAAGAUUUAUCGCCUUUAGAGCGGCCCGCGUCUGAUUAGCUAGUUGGGGAGGUAAUGGCUCACCAAGGCUACGAUCAGUAGCUGUGCUGAGAGGAUGACCAGCCACAUUGGGACUGAGACACGGCCCAAACUCCUACGGGAGGCAGCAGUGGGGAAUCUUGCGCAAUGGGCGAAAGCCUGACGCGGCCAUGCCGCGUGGAUGAUGAAGGUCUUAGGAUUGUAAAAUCCUUUCACCGGUGAAGAUAAUGACUGUAGCCGGAGAAGAAGCCCCGGCUAACUUCGUGCCAGCCGCCGCCGUAACAC
rnacentral:rRNA from 1 species